GUACUUUUUGUGUUAUUCUUUGACGAUUUAUCUGUUUAUCUUACCUGUGUUUUUACUAUACAAAAUUUGGGAUUGAUUUGAAAUCUUAAUUUUAUUUUCAGCCCUGUUGGGACACAGUGUGUCUCAAUACAAGAUCGUGAAUUAAUUGUUAGGAAAGGUUUAGCUGUUGUCGAUUGCUCAUGGGCGCGUCUAGAAGAUGUACCUUUUUCUAAGCUGCGGUGUGCUGCUCCUCGUUUAUGUAUGGGUUUCAUUGGAUCUCCUUGCUCCACAUAGUUAUCUGCAUCAGUGAUGUGCACUUUAUCAUAUUAUUCUUGUAUAUCAUAAUUUUCCUCAAUUACUAAUUUGCUAUAAUUACAAUUGACCAUCUUGUGUUCUAUAGGAUAAUCAUUUUGUCAACUGUUAAUAGAAAGCUCUUAACUUUAAAAUUUGAUGCCAUGUAGCACAUGCUGUAAACCAAUCCUGAUGUAGGUGAGAUUUGAGAAGCAACGGUUAAUGGAGAAACGAUAUUUGGCUAUAGGGGUCCAUUUGAUUGCAAAGAUAGAAUUUGGGUGAAAAGAAAAUGAAUUCCAGAGAAUUGAAUUGCUUGAGAAUUGUAAAUUUUUAUGUUUGAUUGGUAUACUUUUUCACGUGGAAAAUAUUGAAAUAAAAGUGUCUUUGGUGUUCGUUUGUUUUUUAGUCUUCAAUAUUGGUUAUAUCGCAUUUCACAUCUUAAGAUACAAAGGGAAGAAUGAAUUCAUUUGUUCCCUGACAUGAUCUAACACAUCUUGAUUCUAAAGAUGAAUAAAAUCUGCAUGCUUCCAGAUCUUGUUCUUGCUUGACAUUUUUGAUGGGAAAAUUUUGCAAUUGAGUAAUGGUAGAGUGAUUAGUGUUACCUUUUGCUUUGAUCAUCCUAUAUGGAGCAAACCAGUGAUGAUCAGAUAGAUAUAUUGAGCCAUUAGUUUUACUAUUUAAGUAUGAUGAUUAAAUCUAUUUGAAUCUUGACGCCAUUUACAAUGUAAUUCUGCCCCUGAGUAAUUUUAGGUGGUUAACAUUGCCCCUGUCUAAAGUUGAAAGGAUUUUUAUUGCUAGUUUAUAUAGUACAUUUUUGUUAUUCUUUGCUAAUUUAUCGCUUACGCAUUUAUCUUUCGGUUUUUUGUGGUAUAUAAUUUAAAGGAUUACCCCUGGCUAAAGUUGAAAGUAUUCUAUAUCUGGUUUAUAUUGUACUUUUUGUGUUAUUCUUUGACGAUUUAUCUGUUUAUCUUACCUGUGUUUUUACUAUACAAAAUUUGGGAUUGAUUUGAAAUCUUAAUUUUAUUUUCAGCCCUGUCGGGACACAGUGUGUCUCAAUACAAGAUCAUGAAUUAAUUAAUAGGAAAGGUUUAGCUGUUGUUGAUUGCUCAUGGGCGCGUCUAGAAGAUGUACCUUUUUCUAAGCUGCGGUGUGCUGCUCCUCGUUUAUGUAUGGGUUUCAUUGGAUCUCCUUGCUCCACAUAGUUAUCUGCAUCAGUGACAUGCACUUUAUCAUAUUAUUCUUGUAUAUCAUACUUUACCUCAAUUACUAAUUUGCUAUAAUUACAAUUGACCAUCUUGUGUUCUAUAGGAUAAUCAUUUUGUCAACUGUUAAUAGAAAGCUCUUAACUUUAAAAUUUGAUGCCAUGUAGCA
rnacentral:lncRNA from 1 species